ACGGGUGAGUAAUGUCUGGGAAACUGCCUGAUGGAGGGGGAGUAACUACUGGAAACGGUAGCUAAUACCGCAUAACGUCGCAAGACCAAAGAGGGGGACCUUCGGGCCUCUUGCCAUCGGAUGUGCCCAGAUGGGAUUAGCUAGUUGGUGAGGUAAUGGCUCACCAAGGCGACGAUGCGUAGCCGACCUGAGAGGGUGAUCGGCCACAUUGGGACUGAGACACGGCCCAGACUCCUACGGGAGGCAGCAUG
rnacentral:rRNA from 1 species